ACCAGGAUGGCCGAGUGGUUAAGGCGUUGGACUUUAGUUAGAAUGUACGAACGUACGCGUGGGUUCUAACCCUACUCCUGGUA
rfam:Nematostella vectensis strain CH2 x CH6 NEMVEscaffold_350_Cont24646, whole genome shotgun sequence.